rnacentral:rRNA from 1 species
GAUGAACGCUGGCGGCGUGCCUAAUACAUGCAAGUCGAGCGAACAGACGAGGAGCUUGCUCCUCUGACGUUAGCGGCGGACGGGUGAGUAACACGUGGAUAAACUACCUAUAUGACUGGGAUAACUUCGGGAAAACGGAGCUAAUAACGGAUAAUAUAUUCAACCGCAUGGUUCAAUAGUGUAAGACGGUUUUGCUGUCACUUAUAGAUGGUUCCGCACCGCAUUAGCUAGUUGGUAGGGUAACGGCUUACCAAGGCGACGAUGCGUAGGCGGCCCGAGAGGGUGAUCAGCCACACUGGAACUGAGACACGGUCCAGACUCCUACGGGAGGCAGCAGUAGGGAAUCUUGCGCAAUGGGCGAAAGCCUGACGGAGCAACGCCGCGUGAAUGAUGAAGGUCUUCGGAUCGUAAAACUCUGUUAUUAGGGAAGAACAAAUGUGUAAGUAACUAUGCACGUCUUGACGGUACCUAAUCAGAAAGCCACGGCUAACUACGUG